GGGCGGGAGGCGGUGGCGGCUGCGCUGACCUGCGCCCCGCCGCCACCAUCCCUGUCGCGGCCGAGUCCGGGGCCGCCUGGGGUGUCGCCGCUCGGGACGGCCAGGGGCAGGGGAGGGGCUGGCUCUGCGCAGCGGCCGGGACUUGGGCUCCGGGACGCGCCCCGCGCUGAGGUCCCCCGCGCGCCGGCACGCUCUGCCCUGCGCCUCCGCCCCUUCCCUUCCUCCCUCCGGCCCGCCAGGCUCCCCUUUCCUCCCUCCUUUCUCCUCCCUUUCUCUCCCCUUCCAGGCCCCCGCCCGGCUGCCACACGGUCAGUUUACGGCGAGGCGGGGCGGGGCGAGCUCCCGACCCGCCAGCUCCGCCCCGCGCUGGGACCGGCCCGGGACGCGGAGGCCCGGGCGCCCAGGUGGAAGUCCCUUCCGGCGCGCCGGAGGCUGGAAAUCGCGGGGCGGGGGCUCGCUCUGCUUUCUCAGCAGCUGGGCGCCACUGGAAGGGGCGGGGCACGCUCCCCUAGGCAAGCCGAGAUCCCUUUGGGUGGCUAGACUCCGGGAGGGAGAGCAGGUACGGUGGGAUCGUGCCGAGGCCGUCUCGUCCCCCCAGAGCCGCACCGCCUGCCCCGCGCUCGCCCGAGGAGGGACGGAGGCGCCCGCGCGUGCGGGGGGGCGCGGAGGCACAAGUGAGGCCCGCUUUUCCCACAUUAAAGUUUUGCCUUUUGCGAGGAUUCGAGACUGGCCCCUAUCCCGCUAUUCUUUUCCUUAUCUCGAUACACUGGCUGUUUCCGUGAAGCCAGACUAACAAACUCAAAAACACAUGCUCAGGCUUUCGCCUUAUCAUUUUCAUCGAAGCUGCUUCUGAAAGUGCGUAAGGCGUAGGGGUGAGGAGCUUCCCCUAACAGCGUCCCAGGGACCAGGUGAUAAUAAUCGGAUAACACGUACAGAGAGCACACUGCUACCUAGACGCUGUUCUAAAUGCUUUACCACGUAAACUCGUGUAAUCCGCCAGACAACCCUGCUACUAACCAGAAGAGAAAACUGAGGCACAGAGGGGUUAACUUCCAAGAGAAGUGACAGAGCUGGGAUGCCUUGACUAAAACCAGAAGCAGUGAGAAGUCAAGAGCAAAAGGAUCUGACUUUUGCAGCUCAGGAACCGGUCGGACGGAUGGCUUCCAGGGCCCAAGCCAGGGAUGCUUCUGACUGCCAAGACAGGGAGUUUGGAAUUUAAUCUUUAUUUGUGUGCCCCUCUUCCCCCACCCCCACCCCCCGAAACUCUACCAAGGUGGUGCCGUGAUGCCCGAGGAAGUGAACUUAGUCUUGUAGUAUGCUGUGCCUGGAGGCGGAGCAGCACAUUUCGCUGAAGGCCAGCAUUUCGUCCUUAAGCUGCACGCACACGUGGUACUCCAUAACAUCGCCAUGUUUGCUCUGAUGUAAAAGUGGAACUUGUCCCCAAACGUUUUCCGGCAAAAUUGGGGCUGCAGAGGCUGCCUCAGCUACAUCUUGGGUCUUUCUGCCUGUCGGGGGUGGGGGAGGGAGUGGACUUGGAGCCACGCUUAUCUAACCUUCAGAGACAAUGUUUAUAAAUAAUGAGAAGCCAGUGAAAGAGUUUGAACUGGGGGGUGUCGUGCCAAGUGGCGGUUUUAAAAGAUUUGUCUGACAGGGAUAUGAAUGAUGGAUGAGGUGGAAGGAAAGUUAAGUCUCAGAAACUGGGUAGAUGUUGCAUUGAUAGGUACAAUAAUAACCUGCAUUUAUGAAGCAUCCUCUCAGUGCAGGCCCUGUGGUGUCGGAUCUUCUGAGCAUCACCCUCGCCGCCCCAAAUCAGCGCUUCACUGCUCAGACUGAGGACAGACCCCUGUUUCCCUGGACUGCAGCUGGAAAGUGCUGCAAUCGGAUCUGCCGCUAUCCUGUCCCACCUGGUGGUUCCAGCCUGCCAAGACCUGCAACCAGCCACUGAAUUGCAAGUGAUGACAACAUUCUUGCCUGCUCCAUUGUCUUGGAGGCACUUUGGAGAUGCCUGUUUUAAUUCCUCUGAAGCUUUUGGUUUCUGAUUGAUGCAGAUGAGCACAGCAUGACCUUGAGAGCUACGUUUAAAAGGACAGAGCCAUGACAGGGAGGAGCCUGGAUCACCACUUAGAGGAGAGAAGGGAGCUCAGCAGGAGCACCCAGGAACAAGAAUAGAUGUCUCUGGAUUAUAAUAUUCAGAAGCAGGAGAGGAUUCUUUUAUUGGAUCAUAUGUCAUGAUUGUGGGCUCAGAAAACCAGGCCUGUGGGAAUUAUGGAGCCUUUGAUGGUUUGCCCCAAGCUUCUGUCUUUGAAUAAAGGAACCCACAUUUCACAGCCUAGAGGUUGAGAGAAGACCCCCAUACUGCACCCCAGGCCUCUCCCCAACCUCAUUCUCCAAAAAACCCAGCCAGACCUUGCUCACCUCAUAAAAGCUGAUGAAAGACAGACACCUCUCACUGGUGACAUUUUGUAUUUUAUCUUAACUGAAGAAUUUUUCAGUGAAAAUGGAUUUAUCUCCCUACUAAUUUUGGAAAGUCACCAGGAAAUAAAACGUUGAUUACCUGAACAAUUGUACCUAAUUGUUUGCACCAUCAAUAUGACACUAACAUUACUUCAAAACUUAAGGUAUUACAGGACCAAUAAAGGGAACAACGUAUGAUCUCUAAUGAUCCAGUAAAAAUGAUGCAAAUAUUGCAACAGGAGGGAGCUGAGUAACAUUCAUGUUUCCCUGCCACCAGAGCGAGCGUUGAAGAGACCAAGAAAAAGUCGAGGAAAUUAUUUAGAAUUGGUGUGUUAAAAGUUAACGACUUCAAGCAAGCCUUUUAAAAGCGCUCCACCACCGGAAGUUGGUUUGUCUGGAAGUCAUAGGAGACAGCGCCAUCUACUGGCCAUGAAAUUUGCCCAGCGGUUAGGAGGGGGCUAAGAGAGCCAUGAUGGUUUAGGGGCAAAACUGCCCAAAAGAUUUAAGUCUCAGGCUGUUUGGUGUUGAUGCCAUCUGUGCGCCUGACCUCCUUCUCCAAAAGAGGCUCAGAGCCCACUGAAGCUUCUUGUGCAUAAUGGACUCCUGGUUUCUAGACUCUCGGGGGAAGGAAUGGGAAAUGAUGUGAUCUGGGGCUUGAUGAUGAGGAGCCAAGCCGCUGAGCUAAAGCAGGGGUUCUCAGACUCCGAUGUUCAUUCAAAUCACCCGAGGAGCUUACACAAUCUGGAUGCUCAGGCCUGCCCUAGACCAAUGAAGCGCUCUGGGAUGGGACCCAGGCAUCAGUGAUUUUUAACUCUCAUCAGUGACUCCGAUGUGCAACUGAGUCCUGCUGCUGGCAGGGCAGCCACCCAUCCUCAGCUGGUUCGCCCAGUGCUGACCCCAGAGACCUUCAGUCUAAUGUAGAGGUGCAGCAGAAUGAUGCAUCUCUGUUCCUGUCCUGUCUUAGGGCCAUGACCAGAGGAUGCCUCCCUCAAGGUCCGAGAGGCCCCUGCAUGAGAGCACCCCCCUUAAAAAUAAAAGAGCUUUAUUAAGGUAUAACUCAAAUGCAAUAAGCCGUACAUAUGUGAAGUGUACAACUGGGCACGUUUCGAUAUACCCAUGAAACCAUCACCACCAUCAAGAUAAUGGACAUACUCUUCAAGGUCGAGCUGAAGAGUCCCAUUUCAGACUCCAUUUUAUACAUGAUUAUUUAAUACUUAUCCUCUGCCAGGCAUUGUGCUGAGAAGGAAACAAAGACUCCCCGUGCACAACCUCUUCUCUGGGGGAACUGCUUACAGGACUGAGUCAGGACGUGACGGAGGUGAUGCUUGUACUGAAGAGUCCUGCAGGGAGGAGCGGAGGGUUAGGACAGCUGGUCAGGGCAGAUGAUGGUGUAGCUCAUGUAGACAGAUGGAGGUGUUUAUCUGGCAGCUGAAGGAAAGGGGCGUUCCAAGUCGAGGGAAGAGCAAGAGCAAAGAGAUGGAGGUGUGAAGAAGUGGUGUGUUCAGGGAGCAGCCGGUGGGGCCAGAGGAUUAGUGCACUGUGGGAGGGAGGGGAGCACAAGGCUAAGCAGGAGCAAUUGGUGGCCGCGACCAGAUGACAAGGAGUGAUGAGCCACAAGGAGCCUGGCUUGAUUCCAGGAGCUUUAUUCUCUCAGGGGUGAAGCCUUGAAAGCCUUAAGCAAGGAAGGAUCAUGAUCAGGCUCAUAUCUUAGGAAGAUCAUUCUGACAGCCCUCCGAGCUCACGGGAUGAUCCGUGAGAAAACUUUGCAAAGGUCCCAGAGGGCAGAAACAACCGAAUUCACAGGCUGCAUAGUAUAGGAAUCAAAAGCACCUUUGAACACAAAAGCCAUUUUCAUAAACAUUACACAGGUACAUAUUUAGAGCCUCAUUUUUGUUUUAUUUGUAUUUUUUU